UACGAAGGGGGCUAGCGUUGCUCGGAAUCACUGGGCGUAAAGGGUGCGUAGGCGGGUCUUUAAGUCAGGGGUGAAAUCCUGGAGCUCAACUCCAGAACUGCCUUUGAUACUGGGAGACUUGAGUUCGGGAGAGGUGAGUGGAACUGCGAGUGUAGAGGUGAAAUUCGUAGAUAUUCGCAAGAACACCAGUGGCGAAGGCGGCUCACUGGCCCGAUACUGACGCUGAGGUGCGAAAGCGUGGGGAGCAAACAGG
rnacentral:rRNA from 1 species